rnacentral:rRNA from 1 species
UACAGAGGUGGCGAGCGUUAUUCGGAAUUAUUGGGCGUAAAGGGCGCGUAGGCGGCCAGAUAAGUCCCGGGUGAAAUCCCUCGGCUCAACCGAGGAACUGCCUUGGAAACUGUCUGGCUCGAGGCCGGGAGAGGGUAGUGGAAUUCCCAGUGUAGCGGUGAAAUGCGUAGAUACUGGGAGGAACACCGGUGGCGAAGGCGGCUACCUGGACCGGUUCUGACGCUGAUGCGCGAAAGCGUGGGGAGCAAACAGGG